rnacentral:rRNA from 1 species
UACGAAGGGGGCUAGCGUUGUUCGGAAUUACUGGGCGUAAAGCGCGCGCAGGCGGUCUUCCAAGUCAGUGGUGAAAGCCCGGAGCUCAACUCCGGAACUGCCAUUGAAACUGUAAGACUUGAGGAUGAGAGAGGUGAGUGGAAUUCCCAGUGUAGAGGUGAAAUUCGUAGAUAUUGGGAAGAACACCGGUGGCGAAGGCGGCUCACUGGCUCACUACUGACGCUCAGGCACGAAAGCCAGGGGAGCAAACGGG